GACGAACGCUGGCGGCGUGCCUAAUACAUGCAAGUAGAACGCUGAAGGAGGAGCUUGCUUCUCCGGAUGAGUUGCGAACGGGUGAGUAACGCGUAGGUAACCUGCCUGGUAGCGGGGGAUAACUAUUGGAAACGAUAGCUAAUACCGCAUAAGAGUAGAUGUUGCACGACAUUUGCUUAAAAGGUGCAAUUGCAUCACUACCAGAUGGACCUGCGUUGUAUUAGCUAGUUGGUGAGGUAACGGCUCACCAAGGCGACGAUACAUAGCCGACCUGAGAGGGUGAUCGGCCACACUGGGACUGAGACACGGCCCAGACUCCUACGGGAGGCAGCAGUAGGGAAUCUUCGGCAAUGGACGGAAGUCUGACCGAGCAACGCCGCGGGAGUGAAGAAGGUUUUCGGAUCGUAAAGCUCUGUUGUAAGAGAAGAACGAGUGUGAGAGUGGAAAGUUCACACUGUGACGGUAUCUUACCAGAAAGGGACGGCUAACUACGUG
rnacentral:rRNA from 1 species